rnacentral:rRNA from 1 species
UACGUAGGGUGCAAGCGUUGUCCGGAAUCAUUGGGCGUAAAGCGCGCGUAGGCGGCCCGAUAAGUCCGCUGUAAAAGUCAACGGCUCAACUGUUGGAAAGCCGGUGGAUACUGUCGGGCUAGAGUACGGAAGAGGCAAGGUGGAAUUCCUGGUGUAGCGGUGGAAUGACGCAGAGUAUCAGGAGGAACACCUAGUAGCGAAGGCAGCUGC